UUGGCCGGAGGAUUCUUUGUAGUUCUUUUCCAGGAAUUCCCUAAUCGAGUUGGAGUUUCUGCCGGUAGCAUUAGCUUUCCAAGCAGAGAAAGUGCCAGAAGGAUCAGUCUGAUAGAGGGAUGGCACAUGAGAGUAAGGGUCAAAGCCGACGAUAAGAGUAGAAAGACCAAAGGGUCUGACACCACCACUUUGGGUGUACUUCUGUUGAAGCCCCGCUAUGUACCGCGUGAUGUACUCAACAGUCACUGGGUCCUCUAGUGUAAGCCUGUGGCUUUGACACUCAAUCCUUGCCUUGUUGAUCAGCACACGUGCAUCUGCCUUGAGACCCGCGCAUGCCAAGGCAAUGUGAUUAUCAAGGCUCACAAUUUUUCUGGCUGAUCUGUCGGGAGAGAAACACACACAUUUCUCUCACAAAUUCCAUAUAUAUUGAUAUUGAAUAGGUCGCAGCAUUAUAAGAGAAUGGUUCAAGUUCAACAAUUUAUAACAGGGAAACCAAAGCCAUAUAUAUUAUAACCGAAGCUGCGACCUCGUAAGAAAGAGUAACAUAGACAUUCGUAUAAGGAAUUUCACAUCAUUUUCUGAUCAGAAACAAGAUUCGUUUUGCAUACUCGGAGGAGAGAGUGAGAGCUAAACUAAGGUUUCAGCUGCCGAUUCCAAAGAUUAGGAGAUUUCCUCAGCUAACAAGUUUUACAAAGACCAAAGUAAGCAUUCGUAUCAGCAGCAGGUCAUAAAUCAACAUUGUUCGUUCAACUAGCAACUACAUAAAACAAGCAAGCGAUCCAAAAAGAAUAAUCGGAAGAGGGAUCGGGAUCGGGCCAGAAAAAAUAAUGUAAGGAGAGAUCGAAGUAAAACCUAGAAUCCUGAAGCUUAGGAGUAGAUUUCUUCUCGACGGCGAGGACGACGGUGUCGGUGCCGCGGACUCCGACGGCGGCGUUACCCUUGCGGACGGCUUCUAGGGCGUACUCUACUUGGAAGAGGUGGCCGUCGGGGGAGAAAACGGUAAUUGCUCGGUCGUAUCUAGCCAUCUCUCACGCCGUUCUCUUUUGUCCGAUGAUACUUUUGCUUUCCUUUUCCCAGGGAGAAGAAAUAAUAAAGAGACGAAUCCAACUUAAGCGACAAGCCAAAAAAAAAAACUGAAAAAGAGAGAGAACAAAAUUAUUAGCUCCAGAUCUUCUUUAUGGGCCUCAAAUAGCCCACAAACUCCCAGAACAGAAGGCCCAGUUAGGAGUCGAAAGAAGAAGCUCCCUCCCGCGCGUUUCAACUGUCAAAAAAAAGACUCUCUGUUUUACCAAACCGUCGAAGAAAUGACUCGAGAUUUUCAUUCAUGAGAAUUAUUCGAUACAAGAAAUUUUUAAAAGGGUAAAGGUUAAGUCGGAGAAAAUCAUCCAAGAAUCAGCUUUCUUCUUCUCCGUUGUUUUACAGGUUUCUGAGAAAAUUGAAGCAAAAAAGUACGAAUCUCCAUGGGACCAAGCUCUACAACUAGAGCAGAGCUGUCAAGGGGUCCGCCUUUUAGCGGAAGGGAAGACGAAGAAGAAGUUUGUUCGGCUUCACCCUCCACUUUCCAUCUCAUCUUCUCCUUCAUCUUAGCCUUCUCUUGAUUUGCUGCCAAACUCAUUUCUUUCACUUGUUUGAUCUACAAACAAAAAAAAAGGGUUUUCAAAUCACCACCUACAUACAUCAUGUAGAUAGAUGAGCAAGUGAUUGCUUACGGUUUUCCCAUAAAACAACUUCUUAAGCUCGACUUUAGCGAGAGUGGAGUAACCAGGGUCUUCUCCCGCCUGGAAAGAAAACAAGAGUCAAAAAAACCGUUUGAUCUCUGUGUGUCACAAAUCAAGACAGUAAAGAGAAUGAAAUUGUAGGUACCUCGUAGAGAUGAGCAAGGCGGAGAAGGACGUUCCCGAGAUCAAGCUCCUGAAGAGUGAUGAGAGCAACGUUUGGAGGGAAGGAGUAGAGGGGAUCCAUGGCAAAACCUUUGACAGAAGUGGAGGCUUUCCAUUUCUCCUUGUUGUCGUGUGUGAAUGCCAUUACAAGAGGAGAGUAGAUUUCCUGGCCAGUCUCUCGUCUCCACCUCCCUCCUUCUCCUACCUUAUUUAUGCUUACAUAGUGAUUCCCACGAACCUGCAUUUUUUAUAUAUGCUUUUAUUGAGAGUUUGCCUGAUCAACAAAUACACACACACACACAUAUAUGUAUACCGUUAAUCCAGAGCAGGUCCCAUUGAUACACACAGUUUCUUCAAGGCUCUCCUCUACUCCUCUCCCAUCAUCCAUGCACGUACGCCUGUAUACUACAUGUGUUCACUCAACCACACAAUAAUAACGUUCCUUUUUUUAGAAAUUAAAAAAAAAAAAAAAAUCAAUUGGGAGGGAACCUGUGAAGCAUCAACUCUAUUUCACCGUCCUUGAUACUAGCACCCCCUGUAGCCCGAUCAACCAACACUGACAGCUCUGAUUUCUCGUCUUUUGUGUACAUUCCAAGAUUAAGCUGAUAUUUCACUCCAACAAUGCGUUAACAACACUUGUGCAAAUUAAGCCAUCCAACACUAAUUUGACUACGUGCACUCCAAAAAAAAAUAAUUUCCAACAACUGCAAAUCAACAGUUUACCGGAUAGUAGUUUCCUGCUAUUGGCUCAUUCACCUGAAGAAGCCAGUCUGUUCUGUUAUCUCGGACCUGCAAGGGAUACAAAGUUGAUCAUACCAUAUUUAUUGCCACCUGACAACACAGCAGUAUAUAUUAUAAAAAAAGAAAUUCUCCAUACCCGUUUCAGAAAGUCUCUUCCGUUAGAAUCAGUAUAGAAUGCCUUCUCUGUAGUCAUAUUUGCUACCAUCCGCGUUAUAACCUCUUUCCCGAUGUAAUCUUCACCAACAGGUAUUGGACCAAUCUGCUGAUUAAAAUGAGAUCUUCUUUUCCAAACAAAAAAAUAAAAUAAAAAGAAUAUUGAAUUGGAGUUUUGAUCAGGAACACUCACAGUGUACUCAAACUCUGCGUGCUCUUUUUCUUUGUACACCCUUAUCACCUAAGAUAACACGGAUCUGUAUCAACUAAUGAUUCUCAAUGGGAGCGGUUUGUAUGGCUUUAUAAUUACCCAAAACAAAAAAAAAAAAAAACAGUAACUAAGAAGCUCAAGUUGUCACAUACCUGUGCCACCCAAGGACUAAACUGUUGGUGCACUUCAUCUACUAGAGGCCCCCGCACAAUCUGCAACUUUGGCUGCGUAUUGCCAAUGAAAGCCCUUAUCAUAUAAACAAGUACUUUGUAUUUCAAGAGUACAAAGACUAUUAUCAUCGAGGAUAUGGCUACAUAUAACCAGUGAGUAGAAGAACAAAGAAUAGCUAGAAAGUUUUUAUCUUAUACAGUAUCUUGUUACUCAGUAUCUCAAUGCUCUUGAACUAUCCAGUUAUGAUCUAUAGAUAUGGCUAUAUAUAAUAGUACUGAUUCAUAGACUCACUUUCGACGAAACAGCAUAUGCCAAGGAACCAUUAGGUCGGAAAAUAUAUGCACCGGAAGCCUGGGAACCCCACACAUUUGAAGCAUACCAGAAAUAGUUCUGAUGCACCUCUAUGUUAGCCUGAAAAUAUAUUAUUAGAAACAAUUUUGAUCGAAUCUUUUUGUGUAAACCAUAUUCCAAGAUUUUUCAGCGUGCAAGAGUAGACGAAACAUUACUCCUGUUCUCAAGUUGUAAAUCCGUUGGAGAAGACCAGAGUUUGGAGAGAAGACAAUCUUUAGAUUUCCUGAACCAAUUUCAGUCAUAUUGGUCAUUGGACUAAAGAUCGCUGGGGGAUUGUUGCUUCCUAUAUGAUGAAUGCAUGAUACAGAAAAAAAAAAAAGAAGAGAAUCAUGAGUUUAAGGCACUGCCGUACGUGUACAGGUAACUUUCUGUCGAAAUUGGACAGAUUAGCGUGAGCCUUUGUUUUUUUGUUUCUCUCCAUACCUUCCCGGCUUGCUUUAGAAAUGAAGAAUGUGUUCCAACCAAGCGGCGGCACUGUUGCUUUAAACACGAGCCAAUACUUUGGAAUCUGCGGUGAAGAUAUUCCCAAAUAAGCUCUUGUGUAUUGAUUUCUCAGGUAGCUUGUGACAUUAUCCAUGGGGAUGUACUGAGCAUCAAGGGUGUUUCCAGAUGAAUCUUCCACGGUUAAACCUGCAUCAUUGACCUGGUAUACAUACCCUGACUCUUAGUAAAACAGAGAAAUCGUGAGUCUCCAUUAAUUGACCUCGAAGAAGCAAGUAAGCUAGAUUAACAAGAAAAGAAGUAAAAAAAUGUAAGAAAAUGUAACUGGCAUCCUGAUGAUUUCUGUACGAUUCCAUGCAAGGGAGUUAUAGGCCACCAGAAUCUGAAUUAAGAUCAAACACACUGAGACAGUUGAAGCCUAAGCGCAGACCUGAGCUAUAUAUCCUAACGACUGCUAAGAGAUGUGAAGGAAAUUACCAAGCUCUUCUGGCCUGCAAUGGUUUCUUCCGUCGCUGGGCAAUAGCUGAUAUUCAUCAACGAGCACUGCCCAUUUGAUUCCAUGACAAGGUAUAAAUAUGCAGGUUACUUACUAGUAGAUAAUUUUUUACUACAAAACUCACCGAAGAAGAAGAACAUAUAAAAAAAAAAAACACUCAUUAUAUAUCUAUAACCCACAUGACAUUACAAUGAGAAUGGAAUUUUCUAAACACGAGUUUCUAGGAUAUUUAACCUGGGUGAAUGCUAUCUCAGGCUCUGUGCAUGCCUUGCUCAAUAAGCGUGCCAGCGCAAAAUUCACCACAGCUUCUGACUAAGGAAAUAUACAAUAAUCAUAAUUAAUAUAUAUAUAUAUAUAAAUUUACUGAUAAGGAUGAUCAGCAAGAGAAGAGAAGAGUUUCUUGAUAAAGAAUUCCAGUAUUAUAUAUAUAUAUAUAUAUAUGAGUGAGUGUGUGUGUGUGUGUUGAUACCUCAGAAGCACCAAGGGCUAGGCGUUGGAUGUAAUCAUUUGUUACAUGCUGCUUGGCAGUUCCAGUGACAGCAUCAUGGUGCUGCGCUAUUCCUAGGGCAACCCCAAGGCUGCAAGUGUUUGGACCUCCAGAUUUCUUGCCCACCAGAGACUCAAGUUGCCUUGCAGCCUGUUUGGAAAAGAAAAGACAAAUGAAGGCUCUUAAUUAUGUUGUGUGUCCGAAUUUUCACAAAGAAGAUAUAGAUUGAAAUCAGGUUCUUGGAUCCAAUUUGAUACCAAGUAGUAACCGCUAAGAGACCGAACAUAAUGUUUAAAAGCAGGGCGGCUGGUGAAGUAGCCAGUCCAGUAGGCGCUUUCCCGAUCCGCAUAUCUACAUCAAGACAAGACUCAAGAGUAGAGAGAGUGAAAGCCAAAAGAAAAAGAAAAUUGACUAGUCUAGAAAUGAAGCCACUGACGGGAAAAAGUCAAGCGUCUUGAGGGGCCAAGUGACAUUGGCAUCAUCAUUUUUGGCAUCAACAUAGAGAGAUGGUGUGGAGUACAAGGCGUUGACACGGCCAUCCUGUGGGAGUAAGUGUAAGACUAAAUGUGAGAAUUGGUGAGAAUCGAUAUAUAUAUAUAUAUAUAUAUAUCAGUGAGGGGGCCGGGUGAGACUGAAAUUAAAGAUGAAACCUUGUUAACAUAAUGGAUCAGCCUGUCCAUCUGUCUGAACCAAGACUCGGACAACUGGUACUGAAAAUCAUCACCCAUUGUCCACAUCACAUGGUUCCCUCGACUCACAUUGGCCUGUAUUCACAUGAUGACAUAGAUUCACUCAGGAGCCGCCAAGAAAGAACAUUAAAAAAGAGAGAGAACAAAUUAAUUCUAAAAAAAAAAAAAAAAAAACUUACGUAAAAGAGAGAAGCAUUGACGAAAUUAUCAACGGUCUCCUUAACGUUGUAGGCGUCGAAACGAGGGUCAUCCUGGAGGGGCACGUAAUCAUCGCUGACUUCGUAGUGAAACCCAGUGGGCGGGCCAUAGUGGACCGGGAAGACAUUUGUGAAUAUCUGAGAUGAGGAAUCGAAAGUUUUGGAUCCUCUCCAUAUGAAUUCGAGUGAUUUCUCGGCCUUGCGCUUCUCUCUGUCUUGGUAAUCGAUUCUCGCCAUGUGCAGAGAGUCGAACCCUAACUGCACUCACCAAAAUAGCUCGAGCUCGAGUGGUUUCUUUUCUUUUUUUAAUUUUCGUAUAUCCUGUUUUUUUUUUUUUGGUUUCUAAAGUAAAAGAGGACGCACCUCUGCUCCCAGGAGGUAAGCUUGGAGAGAGGAAUGACCAAAGGGAUCGAUCUGCCAAGCAGCACGAGGAGUUGUAUUGAAUUGCUGCUUUAUAAACACAUGCCCCAACGUGGUCUGAUCGAUCAUAUCUAUGUAAUGGCACGUUGCUUCGUCGUUCAUACUCCAUCCUCCAUUUCUGCACCGCACAUCCAUUAAUUAAUUCAUCUCUGUGAAAUUCAUUAAUUGUAAUGAUCAUCAAAUAUUCAAAGGUUGAUUUGAUUGGUAAGCAAACACAUAUGCAUACACAAACUCAAGUUGUCCGGAUCUCACAAGCCUCCUCACUUGUUCUUUUGUCUCCGGGCUUUGUUCUUCCCACCAACGCGUAAAGAAAGCCUUUUUUUUUCCUCACCCAAACACAUGUAUAUAAUAAAUGUUUUCACAUUGAUAUCCCCCAUAUAUAAAUUAAACAUGGUUUAUGACUUAAAAAACAAAAUUAAAAGCAAUUAAUGUUUCACCAUUUCAGCGAACACAAACUUUCUAUUGGGAUCGCGACGCAGCGAAUCCACCACUGAGUCCAACACGUUCCUCACGCAUGCUUUCUGAUGAAAAAUUGUUAAUCACACGAUUAUUCCAUUGAGGAUAUACAGUAUUAUAUAUGAUUCUUCUUCUCUAAUAUCAAUACUGUAUGUAUGUUUAUAUACACCUGGAUACUGUUGUUUGAUCCAACAUAGUACUGAUCAACGGUUUUGAGCCACCCGACAUCAUCAUGAGAAUGCGGAACAAGAUGAACAUUAAGUUUCCCCGGCACAACUCUAGCUUCGGUUCCAUACUUCACGUAUCCGCCAUUAACGCUGCCAAGCGACACCCAGAGAGCAGAAACAAUUACACAGACUGCUGUUUCCCAUAAAGACAAGCCGGAUCUCGCCAUUUCCGAAUCCAGCUUCUGAUGAUGUUUCCUUGUUUCGUACAUGUGUGUGUGUGUGUGUGGAACCAACUUAUAUAUAACAAAUAUGGAGAGAAAACCGAGGGUCAGAGCAAUAGACUAAUCCGUAUCGUUGCUUUUUCUCAGAUCCGACGGUCUUAAUUACUACUGUUUCUCCAUUGUUAAUUGCGACUGGAUUCUCAAUUUCAUCACAACUACCAGUCUCUAUUUAUUAAGGAGCUCUCUAAUCUUUGACCAACGAUAAAAGUUAUUAAUUAAAUACUUGUUUCUGUAAUAAAUUAAUAAUCUAUUUUUUCGACAAGAAAUCUUUCUAUUAUGAAAAGGUUGAUUAUUAUUUUUUCGUAAUGUCACACUAAAUAAAUAUGUAUGUUGUCACGCUCUGACUUUACGCACAUAAGAUUAUAAUGUUUUUGUAGGUGUUUCUCUCUUUUUUUCCUUAAAUAUUAUAUACAAAUUUGUAUGUACAUAUAACAAAAAUAUUACUGAGAUUUACUUUAAAAAACUUUAAAUUAAUUUUAGGGAUAAAAGAAUCUCCUUUCUAAAUUUUCUAUUUUGCUUAUGAAAUCAAAUAUGAUGAUUUAGAUAACUUUUAGUUAAAUAAUUAUUAAUUGAUUUGUUUGUUUGACACUAGUUAAUUGGUACUUUUAACAAUCGCAAUAAAUUUAUUUAAAAAGGUUUUUUAUUUUAUGCUUCUAUCAUGACUAUUUCUUGAGUAAUAUAAAAACAACUGAGAAAGCUAUGAUUUUGUUCCUCCAACUAUUAUGCUGAAUACACAAAUCAAAUACAUUUCUAAAAUAGAUCAAUCAAGUAUAUUGUAAUGUAAGAGACUCAGAUAAUGCAAACCCCUGACUAAGCUAGUGAGAUGGAGCAGAAAGAAUAGUAUCAGCUCAAAGUUUCAUUUCAAUUUUUGGUAUGGUGGUGAUUUGGGCGGACGACUCCAGAAUGUCAACAAUGCAACUCUCUGUCCCCAAAUUACACUGGGUUAGUCAUGCUUCAGAUGUAUGGAGCACAAACCAACUAACAGACAACGCACACAAAAUGAUCCAAGUAUAUUAUAUCUAAUCAAAUGCCAGAAUGUUGUGUAGCAGGUCUUGUAACAAAACAUAGAAAAGUAGAUAACAGAGAAAGGAGUCCAAGAGUUGUUAAAUUGAGGUAUUGUAUUAUCAAGUUUCCUUUGGAGGGCCUUUCUUGGCUGCUUCUGCGGCUGCCUUCUCCGCUUCGAUCUCGGCCACAAUAGCAUCAAUUUCAGCCUCUUCUAGCUGGCGCAGCCCACUUUCCUCCCGAGUCAUUACAGCAACCUCAAUGUUCUUUCCUCCGCUCUCGACUACCUGCAAUGCAAAGCGCCGAUACCAUUCAGUGACAAUGAUAAUGACCCAAAACAGCAACUAUUUUUUUUUUUUUGGUUUUAAUCAGGAGGAGAAAUGUUGGGAGUGGCCGACCUCGAGCAGAGCACGGAUAGCGAGUUUAACAGUUUCUUGGCCGGAGGAUUCUUUGUAGUUCUUUUCCAGGAAUUCCCUAAUCGAGUUGGAGUUUCUGCCGGUAGCAUUAGCUUUCCAAGCAGAGAAAGUGCCAGAAGGAUCAGUCUGAUAGAGGGAUGGCACAUGAGAGUAAGGGUCAAAGCCGACGAUAAGAGUAGAAAGACCAAAGGGUCUGACACCACCACUUUGGGUGUACUUCUGUUGAAGCCCCGCUAUGUACCGCGUGAUGUACUCAACAGUCACUGGGUCCUCUAGUGUAAGCCUGUGGCUUUGACACUCAAUCCUUGCCUUGUUGAUCAGCACACGUGCAUCUGCCUUG
rnacentral:lncRNA from 1 species